UUUGAUCUAAAUUGAGCCUGUAUAAACCUAAUUGCUAGGUUUUCUGACGCGCUGGCGAAGUCCGUUCGGCGAUACGACGAGACUACGCGAAGAUAUUGAAGAAAUGGCCAAUUUCGGUACAGAUUGCCGCAGCUCGUGGCGUAAGCUUCCAAAAAUCACGAAACCGGAAUCGUAGCAUCGUGACAUCACCUAAAGUCUUGGAGCUAAGAGAGUCGGGGGCACGAAGGGUCGCGUGGAGCUCUCGGUGGGUUUGACCUCACUACAAAUGAGAAAAUCUCAUUUAUGUGGAUUUAAGUAUCGUAAAAUUGAAAAUCACGCAUUUUCAUGAAAGAUGCAUUAUUUGUGAAUUUUAGAAUACUUGAAAUGCUUAUGUUAUAUACAAUGCAUUUUCGGACCUCUAUGUAGUAGAGAGCUUGCAUGUGAGACUUAUGUAUGGGUUUAGCAUUCUAAUUGGGACUUGGAAUCAUACUCCAUAUAAUAGACAUGACAAAUGUAAUAUGUCCUGGACAUAAAUCUCAUUUGGACAUAAGAGAAUACAAUAGGCCAUAAAGUGGCUUUGGAUUUGAAUAACUUAUAAGUUAGGGAGCUAAUGUCGUAAUGCAACAUCGGGCUUGAGCUAUGAAUGAGCCUAGCAAAGUAAUGCCAUAGAGAGGCAUUAGACUUGAAUGAUAUGUGAAUUGUAUGUGCAUGUUAAUAUUAUGAGAAUUAUGCUAAGUUGCUAGUUGCAUUGGAAAGUGUAUACAUGUAGCAUUAUGAGAACUAUGCUAUGUUGAUAGUUGCAUACGGACGCAUUGAAACCAUAUGUUAGUGGAUAGAUGCAUGUUAAUAUUUAUAUGCAUUGUGGAAUACAUGCUAGGUACAUAUUAGCAAUGUGAGAUCAUGCUAGAGAGCAUGCGUAUUAACCUAUUAUUGAUAGGGUAAGCUAAUGUCAUAAAGAGGCAUUGGGCUUGGAAUUGGUAUAUUAAGCUAAUGUCAUAAAGCGACAUUGAGCUUGGGACAUGUAUGAACCUAGUAAAUAAUGCCAUAAAGAGGCAUGAAAAUUGGAACAUGCUUGGAUAUAGUAAUGUUCUAGUGUCCUAAAGAGGCACUAGACUUAGUGAAUGUUGGAACUUUACUUUGAGACAUAGACUAGACCCUUGGGGUUACUAGUGGCUAUUCCAUGUUAGAGACAUGAUGACGAGAUCCGUGACAUGAUGACUAUGGUUACUUGCCAUUUGUGCUCAUUCGCACAUGCUUGUGAGGGUCGCUCCCUACAAGCCGGCACUCCGGAGUUGGCCUUUUGCGACGCAGUUCGCGUGUGCGGGAUUGAGACGCCUAUAGGGUCGCGUGGGACAGUCUCAUUCCAGAGUGGGAUGACGAGCUACCACGGGCAGCCAGGUGGCGAGGUGCCUGUAGGGUCGGGUGGGACAGUCUCAUUCCUCGAGGGGGAAUGUUGAAGCUACCACCGGCAGCUAGGCGGCACAAGUUGGACUACACAUGUGUUGGUCCUGGAUGAGAUUGAAUGAUGAACCUUAAUCGAUUAAAUGACAAUCACUACUUGAUAGUAUAUCGUAGUUGGAUUUAGCUGACAUUGGGAUUUGUGGUACCCUUAGUUGCCAUGAUAGUACAUACUAGAUAUGUAUUGAAUUUUGGGACAUAUUGUAUACUUGAUAGUAUUACUUGUUGCAUCACAGCUUACUUGGUAGCCAUAAUAGAGCAUACUUGUUAUGUAUCGGCAUAUUGGAUUCAUGAUAGAGUAGAUGUACUCCAUGUUCAUAUCAUGUAUACUUGUGGCAUAGUAGUAUAGCAUUUCAUUAUAUGCUUUUAUUUCUGCAGUUGUUAUUUCAUUUUCUAUAUCUGCUCAUGACUUGGGCCUAGUGGUGCAUUUUGCUAAGGUCAGUAAUUGCCCACUAGGAACUAUAAAUUAUAGUUCUCACGCCCCCUAUUUUAUGUUUUCUUUCAGAGCCUUCCACUCCGGGAGAGGCUCGGGAUCGCGGGAAAGGAAUCGCCUCGGGCUAGCUAGCGAGGAAUUAUUGGAAAGGUGGUCCACCUCUCUUUGUUUCUUUUUGGAGAGGUUGAGAGAUUUGUACCAUUUGUAGAGACCACCCAUUUUUGUACUUUUGAGAUGGAUACUGUAUAACUUUAUGCUUUACUUUUAUUGUUUAGUUAUGUUCUAUCUACUAUAGAUUCUAGAUGUAUACUUACUCUGAUAUCUCUAGAUGUAGUUCAUCUCUUAUCUUAUUCUUCCGCUUUGUUGUAGACGUCUUCUAUGUGUAGGCAUAUGGCGGGUCUUGGUGCGCUACCGGGAAGGCCUCCGC
rnacentral:lncRNA from 1 species